rnacentral:rRNA from 3 species
UGCACCGGAUCCCAUCAGAACUCCGCAGUUAAGCGCGCUUGGGCGAGAGUAGUACUAGGAUGGGUGACCUCCUGGGAAGUCCUCGUGUUGCACCCC